rnacentral:rRNA from 1 species
GUGGGGAAUAUUGGACAAUGGGCGAAAGCCUGAUCCAGCAAUGCCGCGUGAGUGAUGAAGGCCCUAGGGUUGUAAAGCUCUUUUACCAGGGAUGAUAAUGACAGUACCUGGAGAAUAAGCUCCGGCUAACUCCGUGCCAGCAGCCGCGGUAAUACGGAGGGAGCUAGCGUUGUUCGGAAUUACUGGGCGUAAAGCGCGCGUAGGCGGUUUUUUAAUUCAGAGGUGAAAGCCCGGGGCUCAACCCCGGAAUUGCCUUUGAAACUGGAAAACUUGAAUCUUGGAGAGGUCAGUGGAAUUCCGAGUGUAGAGGUGAAAUUCGUAGAUAUUCGGAAGAACACCAGUGGCGAAGGCGACUGACUGGACAAGUAUUGACGCUGAGGUGCGAAAGCGUGGGGAGCAAACAGGAUUAGAUACCCCUGUAGUCC